GACGAACGCUGGCGGCGUGCUUAACACAUGCAAGUCGAACGGGUCUGCCCUGUUUUUUGCGGGGUGGGUCAGUGGCGAACGGGUGAGUAACACGUGAGUAACCUGCCCCUCACUUCUGGAUAACCGCUUGAAAGGGUGGCUAAUACGGGGUGUUCUGGCUGUGCCGCAUGGUGUGGCUGGGAAAGAUUCACUUUUGUGGUGUUUUGGUGGGGGAUGGGCUCGCGGCCUAUCAGCUUGUUGGUGGGGUGAUGGCCUGCCAAGGCUUUGACGGGUAGCCGGCCUGAGAGGGUGGGCGGUCACACUGGGACUGAGAUACGGCCCAGACUCCUGCGGGAGGCAGCAGUGGGGGGUAUUGCACAAUGGGCGGAAGCCUGAUGCAGCGACGUCGCGUGAGGGAUGGAGGCCGUCGGGUUGUGAACCUCUUUCGCCGGUGAAGAAGGUCCUGCUCUGUGUGGUGGGGUUGACGGUAGCCGGGUUAUGAAGCGCCGGCUAACUACGU
rnacentral:rRNA from 1 species